CCUAGAUAAGCGCUUUCAGAUACAUGAGAUAGCUUGCAAUGGGUGUUUAAAUGUUGGACGAUAUAUUUUUCUCUCUCUUUUAAGACCUCUGGAUCAAUAUAUUUUCGAUUUUCAAUAUAAACAUGGUAAAACCUAGGUCAUAGACCUUAGUUUUUUUUCUCGAAAUUAUUGGAAUUAACAAAACCACAGUUAUUUCAUAAGGUUAAAUAGGAGAAACAAUUUUUUCCUUAUUGAGGAAAAAUUCAAUAAUAGAAUUGUUUAAAAUUAAAGGAGAAAAUUGUUUUUCAUAAAUAUUUCAGAAACAUCAAAUCAAAAUGUCAGUAAUAGGCCCUGUUUCCAUGAAGA
rnacentral:lncRNA from 1 species